rnacentral:lncRNA from 1 species
GAUUAUCAAUAAUCCUAGAAUUGAUUCUUCUUGGGUCGAUGCCCGAGCGGCUAAUGGGGACGGACUGUAAAUUCGUUAGCAAUAUGUCUACGCUGGUUCAAAUCCAGCUCGGCCCAAUAAUUCGCUGAUCCAACAUGAAAUACUAUAACCCAUUUGUUCGUUAGAAAUGUCGGAUACAGAAGAAUAACGAAAGUCAGAUUUUCUGAUAUAUACCUACCCCCAUUUAUUUGUAUUUGCUUUACCUACAAAUUCUGAUCUUGCUAAUGAUCUAGAUUCAUAUCAGGAUCUGUAAGUAUAAAGUCUAAGGAAAGGAAAAGAGUAAAGAAAAAAAAAUACUUUUUUCAUUGAAAAAUGGAUGUACCUCCACAGAUGUAGCUAACAGGUUCGGGUUGCAGAUCCAUUUUGGAAGCAGAGCUGCUGCUAUGCAAGGCGGCGUUAGGGUUCUGGAGCUGCUGCUAUGCAAGGCGGCAUUAGGGUUCUCCUUCAGUAAAAGCGGUCAACAUUGAAAUGAGAGGCGCAGAUCUUUCUGGAGAUAUGUAUUCUGGUCCCGGCUGGACCGGAGCAGGGAUUGAAAAAUCGGAAAAUGUCGCCGAUAUUUCGAAGAAAUAUCGGAUAUCGGAAGGCGCUGAAACGAUAAUCGUCACCGAUUAUCGAUCGACGGAAAAAUCGACAAAAAAUCGGCAAAAUCGCCGAUAUAUCGGCGAAAUAUCGGCGAAAUACCGAUUUAUCGGAAAAUUUCCCGAUAUUUUCCUACCAGUCCAGCCCGCGCACAGGAUACAAAAUCUGGCUCAAAAAUCGUGGAUUUAGGGUUCGUGAAAUUUAAAUCCAAUGGCACAACAACAAAGAGACCCUUAAAACAGAUCCAGAAAACACAGGGAGCAAAAGAAAAGCAAAUUUUUUGGUUUUCUUUGGGGGUUUUGAAUGGAUUUUCUCGGAAAUCAAACGAGAAUGAAUUUUCCCGGAAAUCAAAUGGGGGAUGGAUUUUCUUGGGAAUCAAACGGGGGUUGCAAAAAAAAUAAUAUCAACGUGAUUAGAUUAGUACCUGCGAGGAUUGAGAGUGGCAGAGGAAGAUAGGUCUUUUUAGGAAGAGGAACUCUCUUGGCUGGAGGGCAGCUUCAGCGGCUGGAGGGCAGCUUCAGAAAAGGGGAAAGGGAAAUUCUCUCGGCUGGAGGGCAACUUCAGAAGUGGGUGGCCCUUUUAAUUUUUAGAUUUAGUAGAGGUAAAAAAAAAAAAAAAAAAC